UACCUGUCCAAUGCAUUUCCUCCACUAGUGUGGACCUUUUCAGGGACACAAUUAAAAUAAUAAUGCAAACAGGUGUCAAGAAGCAGUAAAACGUUACUGAUUAUAGUGGCAAUAAUAUGGAUGCAUGUAAAUUAUUUAAACAACUUUUCUACUUGCUCAGUUUUGACUCUGUGCACGUUAGUCUUUAGUUUGUCAGGUCACAGGGCAUCUUGCAGAACAUUGUUUGAGGUGGAUUGAAUCCCACAUGCAGGUUUAUCUUUCUUGUAUCACUUUACUUUGGAUCCAGAGAGGAGGAUGGGGAGGACCGCAGUGAGGCAUAAUUUUUUACUUAGCUCUUUUUACUUGGUUUCAAUAUUAGGAUCACAUGGUUGUGAAGAAGCCCAGUGACAAUGCUUGCCCCAGAAUGGUGCCCCCAUCUCUCUCCCUGAUCCAUGACAGAAACCAUGAUCAGAAGAUCUUGGAACUGACCAAUCAGAUCAUUGAGCUGCUGACCAGAGAGGUGAGGCUGCUGAGAAUGGGACAAUAUACUGUGGGGGACAAAAACCCAAGGGAUGUGUCUGAAUGGUGACUGUAUCAUUGCGUGUGUGUCAGGUUCCUAUAAGGAGUGAGGAUGUCACUGACUAUUUCUCCAUGCAGGAGUGGGAGUAUAUAGAAGGACAUAAGGAUAUUAACAAGGUUGUGAUAAUGGAGGACUACCUGUCCGAUACUGUAAUUGGUAAGUCAAUAUAAAUUCAUUGUAAUCUUUUCCAAAAUACUGUAGACAAUAAGUCCAAAGAAUAUGCAUAAACCAUGGCAAUUGAGGUACUUCUGAUGUUAUUAAUGUGCUUUUUAUUCCAAAAGGUAAACCUGCUCCAGGUGGAUUUUACACGAAUAUUGUUUCACCCAAUUCUGAAACACAAGAGGAAUCUGUAAAUCAAAUUAAUGAUGUAGGAACCUCUGUGAAACGCAAAAAUUCAAUACAGUCUGAGCGUGUAACAUGCAUUUCCUCAGAAGCUCCUUCAGGUGAAGAAGUAACAGACCAUGCAUUUAUUAAGCAGGAACCAACCUCCUGGGAAGAAGGAAAUCUCACAGACAUUUCUACACCCACAAACCAUCCAUGCACUCAUAUUAAGGAGGAAUCAGCCUCAUGGGAAGAAGGGAAUCUCACAGCCAUUUAUACUCCAUCAGAACAUCCACAGAUAGAACAUCCAUCUAUUCAUAUUAAGGAGGAACCAAUCUCAUGGGAAGAAGGGAACCUUACAGAUACUGACAAUUCUACACCCACAGAACAUCCACAGACAGAUGAUACAUCUAGCGUUAUUAAAGGUUAUGUGAAAAGUAAUCCAAAUUCACCAGAAUUUACUUCAAAGGAGUCCAUAAUUGAACCUAAGAAAGUUGAUAAAUUUAUCAUAUAUACAUCGGGUACAUCUCCUCAGACUACAGAAACAAUAUUUAACUUUCCAGUUAGUCUGGAGACUUUUAAUCAUAACUGUAACUUUAAUAGUAAUCAGUCAGUUCACAAUGAAAAGAAGAUGGCACCUUCCGAAAUGGACAAAGUCUUCUUUUCGGGGUCUGACAUAUAUGAGAUUAAUAUCAGAUGUGAUAAACAGUUUUUAUGUUCUCAAUGCGGAAAAAACUUUACUUAUGUGUCUCAUCUUGUUAUGCAUCAGGCAACUCACACAGGAGAAGCAAAAUUUAAAUGUUUUGAAUGUGGAAAAUGUUUUAGCGAGGCCAGAAAACUUGUAUCGCAUAAAAGGGUUCACACCGGAGAAACUCCAUUUAAAUGCAAUGAAUGUGGAAGAUGUUUUACGCAAAAACCAAAUCUUAUUCGGCAUCGAAGGAUUCACACAGGAGAAAAAUCAUUUAAGUGCACUGAAUGUGAGAAAUGUUUUCAUCAAAAGGGUGAUCUGAACAGGCAUCAGAGGAUUCACACAGGAGAAAAACCAUUUAAAUGCCCCGAAUGUGGAAAAGGUUUUAAACACAAGCAUGAUCUAAUGAGGCAUCGGAGAAUUCACAGAGCAAAAAAUUGAUUUAAUGAAUGACAGGAAUAUUUUAAUGUACAGCUCAAAAAAGGAAAAGCACAGAAUGUGAAAAAGAUUUAUAAAGCAAAACUGUUGUCUCUGCAAGUGACAGUGCCUUCUUCCAUUACCCCAUUAAAAACCAUUAAAGCUUUUACUGAGGUUAAAUGGGUUACAGAGGUAAAUAGCUUUUUUAUUGCAUUUCUAUAUUAAGGGGAGACGAUUGUCAUCAGCUGUACAAGCCAAAAUCUGUUUGGUCAUUCCUUUGUUAGUGCCAUUCACACAUAUGAGGUACCAAAGGGGUUAAUUUUCACAAAAUGCCAGACAUGUCAUUUAAAUACAUAAUUAAAGAAAUAAAUGAAAACACCAUAAAGGACAGCCUUUAUUUAGAUGUUGUUUUACAAAAAAAAUCACAUGAUAUGGCGGGGGUAGGCAACCUUCGGCACACCUGCUGUUGUGGCCUACAUCUCCCAUGAUGCUUUGCUGGUAUUAUGGCUGUAAGAGCAUUAUGGUAGAUUUAGUCCACAUCAUCAGGAGUGCCGAAGGUUGCCGAACCAUGUACUAUGUUUUUACAUUACGGUUCUAAAUAAAUGGUUUUGUUCUAAAUAGUAUUCAGUAAAUUCACACAAAUUCAAAACCUAUGAAUGCAUUGAAUAUAGAAACUCUUUCAAGAAAAUGAUGUGCAAAGAGAGAAGGCCGUCUAUCCCUGAUUGUGGGAAGUGUUACACAGGUUGCUCAGAGUCUGACAUCGCAGAAUAAUUUCAUGUAACUCUGUUCAAUGGAGUCCCCCUUUGGUUUGUAUGGCAUUUCAGGCCGUGGCUGAAGUCUAAGUGACCCCUACCCGUACUGCUACUAUUAUACAACCUCAGUGGGAGGACAUGUCACAAGCGAGAACUCUGCUACUUGGACCCCCUUAAUACACAAUCCCCCAAUUGUUAAAAAACCUGUGAAGUUCUAUCAUAACUUUUUUUUAUCUGCCAUCUAAGAUAAAUUAUUAUGUUUAAAUUUGUAUUGCUUUUUAAGAAGUAUAAUAUAA